UGGGAAAGAAGUAAAGCAGUAGCAGCCGUGGUGGUAUCUGAAGGCAAGUAGCACAGGAUGUGAACUGACAAUGACUACUGCCUAGCCGAAAGUACUGAAGAUCACCCAAUCUGUAUUUAUCAGGAAAUUAGUGAACAUGCUUCGUUAUGGUUUUUUGUUCCUAUAUUUUUUCUGUAAUUCUUGGGUAGAAAAUUGCCACGGUAUCUCAGGGAAAUGGUGACGUGCAUGGUUUCCCCCUCCCACCAGUAACAGCUGAAAACAAUGGACAGAUGAUAUCAAUUAAACUGCUUUUGGCAGCUGACUUUAUUACAGUAACAAGUACUACGUAAGCAGAGCCGAACUACAAGGAUUUUUAUUACCUUCGCCACUGGGAGUUAUGUACGGUGUCUCAGCUCUCAGCGUGGAUGCAAUUUCUAUG